AUGGCGCGAGCCGGCUGGGCCGCAGGGCAUGAGCCCGGAGCCGAGCUCUGGCAGAGCCCGGCGCUCUCUCUCGGCUUCUCAGAUCCGGAGCGGGGUGGGGCCUCCGGCGCGGGGAUCCUAGACGCGUGCGGAGCUCUGGGGCGGCCAGACCCGUCCCCGCACAGCUGCACCUCACGGACAGCGCGGGAAGGCCUGGGCCCCAGGGCCCGGCUGAGAGCCGAGCAGAGGGGUGUCGGGAACCCGGCGCUGCAGGAUGGCUCACCGGGCAACGUGGCCGCGUCGGAAGGGAUCCCAGGGCCGCGCAGACUCCUAAGGGCCGAGCGGAAGAGGUGGGCCGGGGGCGGGGCCUGGCUUCCCGCGCCGCUCUCCUCCGGGGCGGGAAGGCGGGUUUCCUCGGCGCAGUCCUGGAGCCCCGGUACCCAGCCCGGGAGUCGGUGGUGGUUGCCCUUUGCAGUGGGAGCAGGGUGUCCCUGGCAGUGGGGUCGGGAUACUCUAAGCUUUGGUGGAUCCGUAGUCCUUUGCCGGGUGUCUUCUUAGUGCCUAGGCCUUGGCUCCUUUAAAUGCAAGGUGGCUUUGCAUAAGUGCCGGAAAACUGGGCUGAGAGACCAGCUAAGCCCCUCCCAGUGUGUGAAGCACUCUGAAACACACCCAACUCCAGGCGAUAAUAAUCGCCAGAAAAAGGUUUUAUUAUCAGCAACUUUUCUCAGUGGCAGAAAUGGAGAAGCCCACUUCUACUUCCACCCUAAACCUUCCGGCUACUAGGGAGCUGCCUCACCGAGAGCCCGCUUGUGAGUCCCUAACUUCUUAACAGGCUCCUCUGGUGCCCAGUUUCUCACUUCCUCAAGUGAAGUAGCCAGACCAGACAUAUCAAAGAGCUACUUGAUGACACACUUCUUCCCUACCACCUGCUGAGGAAGGAGCCUGGCCGCGGGUUCCUAUGAGACCCUAGAAGAAACGACCCUGAUUCUGCCACGUGGGCUUCAUUCUCGAACACUCCCCAGCCCCCACCUCCCCCUGGCGCCUGUGGCGCGGCCAGAAAUUCUGAUUGUCCACCGCCUAUCUGCCUAUGGCGCUAAUAAAGUUCUUACUCCCAGCA